rnacentral:rRNA from 1 species
ACUCAAAGGAAUAGACGGGGGCCCGCACAAGCAGUGGAUUAUGUGGUUUAAUUCGAAGCAACGCGAAGAACCUUACCAGGGCUUGACAUGGAAAUGACAGGCGCAGAGAUGCGCCCUCCCUUCGGGGCAUUUCACACAGGUGGUGCAUGGUUGUCGUCAGCUCGUGUCGUGAGAUGUUGGGUUAAGUCCCGCAACGAGCGCAACCCCUAUUGCUAGUUGCUACGCGAGAGCACUUUAGCGAGACUGCCGUUCAUAAAGCGGAGGAAGGCGGGGACGACGUCAAAUCAUCAUGCCCCUUAUGCCCUGGGCUACACACGUAAUACAAUGGCGCCCAACAGAGGGACGCGAAGGAGCGAUCCGGAGCAAAUCCCCAAAAGGCGUCUCAGUUCGGAUCGCAGGCUGCAACCCGCCUGCGUGAAGUCGGAAUUGCUAGUAAUCGCGGAUCAUCAUGCCGCGGUGAAUACGUUCCCGGGCCUUGUACACACCGCCCGU